rnacentral:rRNA from 1 species
CCUCAGCCAACUAAUUGACACAUAGCCCUAAAGUACUGAUUGAUGGAAGGGAGGCAGGGUGAAUCAUGGGGCACACCGCAUCUGGGUGAACAUUCUGCAUGCUGCUAAUUAAAGUGGACAUUUAUGCGUGGGGGUGUAACUGACCCAAUCACAAUGGACCAAAUAAUCUAGGGUCCUAUAGUUAGAACCAAUGAGAUGUUGUACUUGUAGUGACGUCUAGAACGAGUGAUGUAGAGGGAUGGGUGUAAACAACCACUCGAUAAGAGUUAUACAAUCCUCACACUCUGUUACCAUAUACAGAUAUAGCAGCUAUACUUAAGUUUUCUUUUUAACCAAUCGAAUUGCAUGACAAACCUUUGAGUGUUACACGUCAAUAGCGAUGAGAAUUUACUAUAACUAUUGCUGUCUGAAUGAAGAAUUUGGAAGUUGAAGCGAGACGGACGAUCGCAUCACUGAAGAUUUCCUGUUGUUUCCCCAUUAUUGUACUUGUCAUUAAAUGGACUUCCCUUUGCCAAACCAUCGAGUUGUCCUUAUUGAUUGGUGUUGGAGUAAGAGAAUCCCGCACCCCAUCCAUCUCAAAGUGCAGCUAUCUAAUCUUAAGGUACUCGAGGGUGAGCUCUGAUCCCAUGGGCCCGUCAGAGGUCGCUACGCCCUCUUGUACACACCGACACGUCUUAUCCAAUCUGUCAGGGAGGAGGAGCAUGAGCGUGUCCAAUAGGACCUGAAAUAUGGUGAACUGGGCCUGGGCAGAGAAAAGCCAGAGGAAACUAGCGGUCCUGAUGUGCAAAUCGGUCAUCCGACCUGUGACGGGGCGAAAGACUAUCGAACCAUCUACUGGCUGGUUCCUGAAGUUUCCCUCAGGAUAGCUGGUGCAUGGAAACCCCAGUUUUAUCUGGUAAGCGAAUGAUUAGAGGUCUUGGGGCUGAAAUUCUCAAAUUUUAAAUGGGUAAGAAGCCAGCCGCGCCGGCGUGGAGCCGGGCAUCGAAUGCAAGUGCCCAAUGUGCCACUUUUGGUAAGCAGAACUGAUGCUGUGGGAUUAACCAAAUGCUGGGUAAGGUGCCUAUGCCGGCGCUCAUUAGACCCAAAAAGGUGUUGGUUGAUAUAGACAGCAGGUCGGUGGCCAUGGAAGUCGGAAUCCGCUAAGGAGUGUUUAACAACUCACCUGCCGACAACUAGUCCUGAAAAUGGAUGACGCUGGAGCGUCUGGCCCAUACCCGGCCGGCGCUGAGAGCAGCAGGGGCUAAGCCUUGAUGAGUAGGAGGGCCGCUGCGGUGCGCACGCAUGCCCGGAGUGAGUCCCCGGGUGGAGCCGCUGCAGGUGUAGAUCUUGGCAGUAGUAGCAAAUAUUCAAACGAGAACUUUGAAGGUCGAAGUGGAGAAGAGUUCCAUGUGAACAGCAGUUGAACAUGGGUCAAUUGGUCCUAAGAAAUGGUUAAGUGCCGUUCGGAAGGGACGGGCAAUGGCUCCUCUGCUCUCAGCCGAUCGAAAGGGAGUCUGGUUCAGAUCCCUGAACCCCGGAGUGGCAAAGACAGGCAGCAUCCAGUGUGAUAAUGCAAACUAUCCCACAGAAGCUGGUGGGAUCCCCAGGGAGCAUUCUGUUUACUUUGUGAAGGGCUGGGCACCCUAGAAUGGUUUCGCCCCGAGAGAAGGGCAUGAGCCUUGGAAAGCGUUGCAGUUCCGGCAGCAUCUGGUGAGCUCUUGCUGGUCCUUGAAAAUCCAGGGAAGAUGGUGUAAACCUUGCGCCGGGCCGUACCCAUAUCCGCAGCAGUUCUCCAAGGUGAACAGCCUCUGGCAUGUUCGAACAAUGUAGGUAAGGGAAGUUGGUAAGUCAGAUCUGUAACUUCGGGAAGGGCUGGGGUGCGGAGCGGGGCUGGCCAUGCGCUGCGCCUGGACGAGGUGUCUCCUCCCCGGGGGCGGCACCGACUCUGAAUGUGAGCCAGGCCCUUCCUGUGGAUUGCCCCAGCUGCAGUGGUCAUCUCUCUCCACUCCCCUCCCGAGGUUUGGUGCCAGAGUUCUGCCUCGGCCGACGCCUAGCAGCUGACUUAGAACUGGUGAGGAACAGGGGAAUCCAACUCUUAAAUUAAAACAAAGCAUUGCCGUAAGGCUCAUGGUUGGUGUUGACAUGAUUUCUGCCCAGUGCUCUGAAUGUCAAAGUGAAGAAAUUCAAUGAAGCGCGGGUAAACAGUGAACUCUCUUAAGGUAGCCAAAUGCCUCGUCAUCUAAGCAUGAAUGGAUGAAAGAGAUUCCCACUGCCCCUAUCAUCUAGUGAAACCACAACCAAGGGAACAGGCUUGGCAGAAUCAGCGUGGACAGAAGAAACCGUUGCGAUUCACUCAUCUGGCACUGUGAAGAGACAUGAGAGGUGUAAGAUAAAUGGGAGGCCUUCGGGCUGCCGGUGAAAUACCACUACUCUUAUCGCUUUUUCACUUACCCGGUGAGGCCAGGGGGAGCCCUGUACGCUUGCCAGGCGCCAAUAGCUCUGGGGACAUUAGCAGGUAGGGAGUUUGAUUGGGGCACUACACCUGGCCAACCAUAAUGCUAAAUGACCCCAGGGAGGACAGAAAUCGCCCAUGGAGCAGAAGGGCAAAAGCUUGCGUAAUCUCGAAUUUUCAGUAUGAAUACAGUCCAUGAAAGCGGGCAUCAGGAUUCUUCUGACAUUUUGGGUUUCAAGCAGGAGGUGUCAGAAAAGUACCAGAGGGAUAACUAGUUUGUGGCAGCCAAUCGUUCAUAGCAACGUCGCUUUUUGAUCCUUCGAAGUCGGCUCUUCCUAUCAUUGUGAAGCACAAUUCACCAAGCGUUGGAUUGUUCAUCCACUAAUAGGGAACAUGAGCUGGGUUUAGACAGCCGUGAGGCAGGUUAGUUUUACCCUACUGGUGAUGUGUAGUUGCAAUAGUAAUCCUGCUCAGUAGGAGAGGAACCGCAGGUUCAGACAAUUGGUGUAUGUGCUUGGCUGAGGAGCCAAUGGGGAGAAGCGACCAUCUGUGGGAUUAUGACUGAAUGCAUCGAAGUCAGAAUCCCCCCCUAACCGUAAUGUUACCUCAGAGAUGUGGAGCCUCGGUUGGCCUAGGAUAGCCGGCCUCUGGGCCGGUGCGUAGAGCCGCUCACCUCAGAACUCGAGUGUGAACAGACAGGGGCCCACUCUU